rnacentral:rRNA from 1 species
UACAGAGGGUGCGAGCGUUGUUCGGAAUUACUGGGCGUAAAGCGCGCGCAGGCGGCUUUCUAAAUCCGUUGGUGAAAGACCGGGGCUCAACCCCGUGUCAGCCAUGGAUACUGGGAGGCUGGAGACAGGUAGAGGCAAGCGGAAUUCCGGGUGUAGCGGUGGAAUGCGUAGAUAUCGGGAGGAACACCUAUGGCGAAAGCAGCUGCCUGGGCCUUUACUGACGCUAAGACUCGAAAGCUGGGGGAGCAAACAGG